rnacentral:rRNA from 1 species
GCUUAACACAUGCAAGUCGAGCGGUAAGGCCCUUCGGGGUACACGAGCGGCGAACGGGUGAGUAACACGUGGGUGAUCUGCCUCGUACUCUGGGAUAAGCCUGGGAAACUGGGUCUAAUACCGGAUAUGACCACAUGUCGCAUGGUGUGUGGUGGAAAGAUUUAUCGGUGCGAGAUGGGCCCGCGGCCUAUCAGCUUGUUGGUGGGGUAAUGGCCUACCAAGGCGACGACGGGUAGCCGGCCUGAGAGGGCGACCGGCCACACUGGGACUGAGACACGGCCCAGACUCCUACGGGAGGCAGCAGUGGGGAAUAUUGCACAAUGGGCGGAAGCCUGAUGCAGCGACGCCGCGUGCGGGAUGACGGCCUUCGGGUUGUAAACCGCUUUCGACAGGGACGAAGCGAGAGUGACGGUACCUGUAGAAGAAGCACCGGCCAACUACGUGCCAGCAGCCGCGGUAAUACGUAGGGUGCGAGCGUUGUCCGGAAUUACUGGGCGUAAAGAGCUUGUAGGCGGUUUGUCGCGUCGUUCGUGAAAACUUGGGGCUCAACCCCAAGCUUGCGGGCGAUACGGGCAGACUAGAGUACUGCAGGGGAGACUGGAAUUC